rnacentral:rRNA from 1 species
UACGGGGGGGGCAAGCGUUGUUCGGAAUUACUGGGCGUAAAGGGCUCGUAGGUGGCCAACUAAGUCAGACGUGAAAUCCCUCGGCUUAACCGGGGAACUGCGUCUGAUACUGGAUGGCUUGAGUUCGGGAGAGGGAUGCAGAAUUCCAGGUGUAGCGGUGAAAUGCGUAGAUAUCUGGAGGAAUCCCGGUGGCGAAGGCGGCAUCCUGCACCGGCAUUGACGCUGAGGCGCGAAAGCGUGGGGAGCAAACAGG